CUUGAAACCGAAGUCUGAUUUUUGGCAUUGAGCCGAUUCUGAUGCAUAUAUCGCAUCAAGAAUCAUUGGCUACGAAAUUUUUUUUUAAUUCUAAUGACCAUGCAUUUGAAUGUAUUGGCCAUUUUGAACGGAUUCAAAUCAGUGAACAUUUUCGGCAGUUAUGCCCAUGCGAAGAGUCGGCCGAUCCCAGAAGAGUGGGAGAUGGCCAUAAGCAGCUGAGGAACAAUCAGUUUCGGACCAGCCGUCAAGAAAAUAAGUUCCGUUGAUUACCGGGUGCACUCACGGAUAUUUAUUUUUUAAAUUUCGUUUACUUUCUUAACUGUAAUUGGGGUUCUGUUUUAUAAUUUAUUAAUGUAGCUUUAUUUACAGACUAUUUUACAC
rnacentral:lncRNA from 1 species